rnacentral:lncRNA from 1 species
UCAGAGACUGGCUUUUUGGUACCUGAGGGGUAUUUCUGCUUCCUCUUGUGAUUUAUUGACUAGGAGUGCUAUGUACUCCAUCUUCAGUUAUUUAAACUUAUGUUCCCAUGACAUUCUGAGAGAGUUCCUGAUAGGAGGUACCUGUUCCUUAAAUAUGUCAGAUGUGGCCAGGGAUGGCUGCGAGGGGAGCUGUGGGUGGGGCUAUGACAGCAAAGGUAGUGCUUUGUGAUUCCAGCCACAGAGGAAUUGUUGGGAAGGUCCACUGACCCAGGAGGAGGUGUCAUAGACACUGGGCCCCCAGUCUAAAGACAGAAGAGUCACUGUUUUACGUACUUCCAUCACUUUGCAAAGUGUUUCACUGCUUCAUUGCUUCCUCGAACCUUAACAGAAUCAUUUCAUUUGAAAAAUUGGGUGUCCUAAGCUUUUUGAUAGAUGAGAGAACUGAGAAGUUAAACAGUUUCUUCCAAGCCACAUAGGGAGUUAAUAGUAGCAGGAAGAAUUUAAGCCCUGAUCCUUGAUCAUCUGUUUUUGCUUAGACAGGUGAAUAAGGGGAGGUGUUUUAACCUCCUGAAUUGUCCCAGUUACAACCCUUCUGCUCAAUACCAAGUGGCUUGUGACCGACGGGACCUGACGCAGGAUGAUGUGACCUCCUGGCUGUCGUCCAAGGUGCCUUACUUUCCCCAUCUCCACCCUGGCCCUUUCGAAAGACUGAACUAGGGUUCCAGUCACUGAAUAAUUUGGUCAGGAUAUUUUUAUAUUCUCUUCAUAAGAAUGAACAUAAGCUUUAGAUGUUAGAUAAAAGCAUCAAGUAUUCAUAGAAGGGGAAAGGCAGUGUCCGGAAUAAGAGUUGAAUCCUCCUUGUUCUGUUUAUAUGAGUAAGUUAUUUAACCACACAGGUUACGGGACCAGUCAGGAAUGCCUCCACCUGACUAAAUAUAUAUUAGCGCACGCUGGCAUCAAUCUCCAUCAACGUACUAUUAGCCAUUAUGGGAGCAUUACAACAUCAUCCUACUCACAAAUGUGACACAGAGCAGGGUGUCACAGACACCUCAGUGCACUGGGCCCUUAAGUCAAAAUGGAAAGUUAAAAACACCUUCUGCAGGCAGCCACUGGCAUUACUUCAUAUUUACAUUAGUUUGGCUAAUCUAGUCGAGUGAACUUUUUCCCCAAGAAAAUGUAAUAGGAAUACUUUAUUUGAAAAUUUUAUGUGGUCAGCAGCUGUCUAAAGUCUUAAUUCCUGUUUUCAGUAGGGUAAGUGGCAAAUGCAACCAGGAAGAAAAAAAAUUGCAGUUUCCCAAGUGCUAGUGAGGACAGCAGGCAGUGGAAAAUCCGUGCAAAGUCUUUCCAGGAAAACAUUCCUGCAGAUGACUGUGUAAGUACUUAAGGGUUGGUGUAAAAAAAUAGAUCCACACAUUUCUUAAUGAGACUGAGUGAAAGAGCUGGAAAGGCUCCCCAGAAAUCAGGAAACAGAGGCAGAGAGAAGGAAAGCAACUUGAGGAAGUCACACAGGAGGAGAGUGAUCGCAUUCAAAGAGCCAGGUCCUGCAUCCACUGUCCACCAUCCUGCUUUGUUCAGCUCCCCGGGGACCACUGCAUCAACAGAGGCAGGAAGGUGCUCCGUGAGAGCCCUGCCACUGCACCGCACAGGGAGCCUAGCCUCACGUUAAAUGACCUCCUGUCAUGCAUGACCUGUGGUUCCUCUCACCAGUACCUGUCUGAUCCAUCACAAAAGCAAACAUAGGGUCAUGUCGCAGCUUCUGCCUUUUUCCCUCAUAGAAACUGAAGCAAAAGCAGAAUCAUAGUUUGUUUACAUCUUCCAUGAGUUAAAGAAGGUGAACUAGAGUAGGAGAAAGAGAAAGUUUAGGCGACAGUCGGAUAAAGAUUCCUGUCUUUGUUCCGCUGUAACUUGGAAAAAUUACCCAAUACAUGAACAUCUUAAACCACGACAAUGAUAUUGUUCUGAUAAUUUUUGUUAGAACCAAAUACUAUACUGUAUAGAAAGUUUAUCUUGAGGGAGUUAUGUGUGUGUGUGUUAUAUGCAUGUAUGCAUAAAUGUGUGUGUAUGUGUGUAUAUAUGUAUAUACAUAUAUAUACAUAUAUAUCACAUGUACAUGAAUAAUAAUGACAACAUACAAUGAUUCCUUUGGUUGCCAUGUUUUGAGGGAACAUGCACUUUCUGCCAGAAGAAGUGAUGGUCCCAGGAGCAGACACAGGACUUAAAAAGAAGUACAACUUGCAUGGGACACCAGUGUCCUCAGCGGCCAGCAGCAGCGCCUGCCUCUCCAUCUUUGUUGCACCGGGAUGGAGGCUUUAGCUGAGUCUGGUACUGAAGAGUCUGGACCCUCCUUCAUCCCAGGGCUUUACUUUCCCACUUCCUAGUUUCCUCCUCUUUUAAAAUACAUGUAAAACCACCACUUACCUCACAGGACUAUUUUAUGAGUUAAAUAGAAUCAUGUAUGUAAAAGUUCUCUAAAUGUAACAUAGCGUAGUUCUUAAUAAAUACCUGGUAUAUUUAUGAGUGAGGCGGUACCUGAAAGUGCUGAAAGGUCAAUAUGACGGAUGCUCUUUUGAGCAGAAUGGUGCUGAGGGACAUGACUCGAGAGAGAAUAUAAGGAUAAAUCGGUUCCAGAAAAUUACCGAAAUGAAGUAGUUGGAAAAGUAUGGCCGCAGAAAUUACAAAGCCAACUACCAGGGAGUGUAUUCUCAAAAUGAGCCCAGUUGCCUGCCUAUAUGUGGCCAUGGAAGGGAACACAGGGGAUGGUUUGUAAUGGGCUCCCCUGCCCUCCUUGGACAGAGCAACUGGAAGAUACCAACACUGGCCAGGACCUGCUCAGGGUGUCAGCAAAACUGGUGUUGGGAGGCUACCUGGAGAGCUGGUGUAAAGUGUGGGAACUCCCCGGUUUUCCCAGACUAUGACCCUAUGGCACCACACAGCCAGAGAGAAAGCCAUCAGUGAGUCCUUCACCAGGAAGAUCAUGGUUUUGUUUUGUGCGUUGUAAGACAGAUUUUUGUUUAAGAUGCUAGUGUGUGUUAAUCUCUAAGGAGGAGAGAAAUAAGAAAGGUCUAAUAUUUGGGGGGUGUUUUCUAUCCUUCAAGUGAUGGUCAGUCAGCUGGAGUCACAAGAGCAGACACAGAAGAGGCGCAGGGAAACAAGGUUUAUCAUUACUCACAGGUGCGAGGUAGAUGGUCACUGCAGGCUCAAGGGAGCCACAUGGUGGCGAGCAUUAAUGGAGGGGGCUCAGCCAAGCAGGUGGGGAGCUGAGAGACAAGGACCAAGGAUAGGUGCCUUUAUGGGGAGUCAGGAUGGAGAACAUCAGCAAAAAGUACAAGGGGAUCUCAUCGGUGACAGUCAGGAGGGGGCAAGGAGGGGAACUUGUGGCAAGAACCAGCCUUAUCGCACGGGUGCACCUGGUCACCUGGGCAGGGUGCUCACAGCCUGUUUGUGGGAACGUUGAGGCAGCAGGAAAAUAUAAAGCUUUAACAUUACAUUACAAGGGGUUAGCGAUUUCAUCAAUGCCAUGGUUCCAGGAGCAAGAGAAGUCUGCACAUCCUCCAUUGAAGCAUCCAAGUUAGAAGAUAGAAGAGGGGAGCCCGGAAGUAAACAUCAUCCCCAGGUUCAAGUGCAGAGAGGGAAGAUUAUGGAAAAAUGGAAAGAAAUUUGGAACCAAAGAUAUUCUUUGGAAAUGUUUUUAUCUUAUACCUUUGUUUGGUCUAAGGGGCCUCAAAACAGAAUUCUUGUAUAUUAAUUAUAGUAAUGACAUAGGUGACUUAGCUCACAAUAUGCAUUUGCAUACACAUCUGCACAUAUCCACACACUCCCAGGAACACACCACACACACACACCACCCAAGCAGUAGGUCAUCUGCUUACUGAUGAAUCCCCAAGGGACUGCUACAGCCCUUGGCAUAGAAAAUGUACUCAACGAAUAUUCAGAAAACUUAAGGAACAAAUUAGUAGAUACAAGAAGGAGUGAGAGGGAGAGGGAAAGAGGAAGAGACAGAGCGACAUAGAAAGAGAACUGUUAAUCCUUGAUUCCAGAACUGGGAUGCAGAGGUGGGCCAACCUUCCCACUCAAUGGGCCUUUAGUUUGGCUCAGGAGGGAACGCUUCAGUUCUCUGGAUAAAGGGUGAUGUGUGUCUAUGAAAGGAGCAACCUGGAGUCGGCAUGGCCUUAAACUAGUAAGUCCAAGUACAGUCAGAGCCAAAGUGUCUACAACAUUUUUCGGUUUUCCUUAAAAAAAAAAGUUCUCUUUUGCGAAAACUACAUGUAACAAAUGUACCAAAAAAUCUGCCUGUGGAGCAAUGGAAUGUUGUAUGUGAUUUUACACAAGUCAUUUUACGUCCCUAUGACACAAUUUGGCCCUCUGUAAAAUACAAUAAAAUCCUCCACUCUCACUCCCUACACACAUCCUCGAACGCUGAGAACCAACUGGCAGUAGCUCUAAAGAAAAGGUGCACUAGGAGAAGCCUGCAGACUGUCACUGGGCUACAGUUGUCCCACAUGGUAACAGACACAUGUCCAGAGAUGGCAGUGAGUUGCUGAGUCCACCCCUCCUUGGAGGAAUACUUUAGUGAGAUAAACAAAAGCCACUACUAGCUCAUCAUUACAUCAAGGGCCCUCUUAUUCAUGCUCCAUGAGCUAAAUGCCAGUCAUUGAGGGGAGUGGAAAGUGUAGCUCAUUGAAAAAGUCUGUGACUGUGGGUCAGAAGACCUGGGUUUAGGUCCAAGUUGUGGCACCUGGAAAUUCUAUGAUCCCGGUCAAGUUACUUAACCUGGCUUCCCAAUUAUUCUCACAAGCCCAGUGCCUGACUCAUUCUAGGCCGUCGUGAAUGAGAGGAUGAGGGUGUGGUGCAGAUCAAACAGGAUAGUGCAUGUGCAUAAUCUCUGUGAGACUCAAAGCACCUCAGAAAUGGACGGUUACUAUUAUUACUGAUAAUGGAAACCCUACAACUCAGUCUGUGUCCUUCAAGAUGGAUCCAUGUUUUAAAAGGAUGCGACUGGGAUCUGGUGUUGCUGUGGCUGUGGUGUAGGCUAGCAGCUGCAACUCCAAUUCGACCCCUGGCCCAGGAAU